CAUCUAAGCGGGAAGCCUGUUCCAAGAUUAGGAUUCUCACCACCUUGAGUGGGUAAGACCCCCUACAGACUAUGGGGUUGAUAGGCCAGAACUGGAAGCGCAGUAAUGCGUGUAGGUGACUGGUACUAAUCGGUCGAGGGCUUACCACACA
rnacentral:rRNA from 1 species